rnacentral:lncRNA from 1 species
CUUUUCUUUUUUUUUUUCAGACAGAGUCUCACCCUGUCAUCCAGGCUGGAGGUUCACUGCAGCCUCAAACUCCUAUGCUCAAGUGAUCCUCCCACUUCAACUUCCCAAGUAGCUGGGACUACAGGUGUGUACCACCACACCAAACUAAUUGUUUCUCUUUAAACAAAUGUCAUAGAGAAGAGGUCUCAUUAUGCUGUCCAGGCUGGUCUCGAACUCUUGGGCUCAAGUGAUCCUUCUGCCCUGGCCUCCCAAAGUGUUGGGAUUAUAGGCAUGAGGCACUGUGCCCAGCCAGUCACUUUUCUUUCAUUCAAAGCCAAUGUGUUGCUGGGGUCGUGUAGGCUAUGUUUUUGAGUAUACCAUUUAUAUUCCUAAGUUAGGAUGUUUGUGUCCUUGUUAGUCAUUGAGUCCGAUUUGACCUUUCACAAAUGAGAAUUUCAGGCCAGAGAGCAAAAAGCCCUUUAUAGGUCAGGUGUUCAGUUUCAGCAAGAGCCCAGUAGCAAGCUAAUAGUUGUUUUCUAAAAGCAGUGCACCUGGUAGCUAUGUUAAGGAGGCCAAAAGUCUAAAACUCCAAAAGGCACCUCUCGGAGGUGGAGGUUGUCUCCCUUUACCAGAGGCUGACAUUUGAAAAAUUAUAAGUUGUAGAGAUUUGUACUAUCUGUAACACUCAAAGUAUUUAAUAGGUUGCUGGGCAUCCCUUUUGAUGCUGGAGCCAAAAAGAGGAAAGAUUUCCCCUGAAUAUCAAACUCAUCGUUGUGAAUCCACUCACAUCUUCUCAACUUUUAAAUAGCAAGGCUGUUUGGUAUUUAAAAUUUGGUAGCCUAUGCUGAAGAAGGGUGAUUGCACUACAGUUAGGGCCUUCAACACUAAAGUUUCUGAUGAACCAAUUGACAGUACAUCAUCCGUAUAGUAAGUGCCUUAAACAUUAGAGGAUAGAGGCACUCAUGGCAAAUCCUGAUCCACCUAGUGGCAGAUGGCAGGGGAGUUGGCUUCAGUAGCAUCUUUCUAUCUGCAGCUCUCUCAUUGUUGGGAUAAUCUUCUCUGGCAAAUAUGGAGUGGAGAAGUUCAAGCAUAUGACACAUCAAUUCUCUUGAUUCAGCUAUUCCACUUCUAGGAAGAUACACCUUCAAUAGCAUGAAAAUCCAAAUGCAACACAGUAUAUACUGAAGCAUCAUAUGCAGCUGUAAAAUACUGGAAAUAAUCUAAAUGUCCUA